rnacentral:rRNA from 1 species
UACGUAGGGCGCAAGCGUUGUCCGGAAUUAUUGGGCGUAAAGAGCUCGUAGGCGGUUUGUCGCGUCUGCUGUGAAAUCCCGAGGCUCAACCUCGGGCUUGCAGUGGGUACGGGCAGACUAGAGUGUUGCAGGGGAGACUGGAAUUCCUGGUGUAGCGGUGAAAUGCGCAGAUAUCAGGAGGAACACCGGUGGCGAAGGCGGGUCUCUGGGCAACAACUGACGCUGGAGGAGCGAAAGCGUGGGGGACGAACAAG